GGGGAGGACGUGGCGAGCCGGGGCGAAGGCCGGGUGGGCGGAGGGAUCACCCCCACCUUAGCCCACCUGGCGGCGCGGGCGCCCUUCAGCCCCGGGGCUGCCCGCAGCGGGCUGCCCUCCUCCGGGCCUGCGGCCGACCCCGCUGCGCUCCCUGGGACGCCGCAGGCUGACCCCUGGGCUUCCCGUCCGGCCCCUGCGGGCUCCCUUCGGCUCGGGACACUGCCCCGAGCAGACCCAGCCCUCGGCCCACCCGGGGGCCUUUUGCCCCCAUUAGGGCUUCCGCGGCCAACCCACUCCCACCUUUCAUCCUCCUCGAGUGGUCGAUGGUUAAUGGCGACUCCAGAGGAAAUGCGCCCUCCAGGACGUAAAGGCACCGAGACACCGAGCCCUCCUGCAUACACGCGUCUCCCAAGGCCUUGGCACCACGGUUGGCAUUGCCUACCUCCAAGCCCCCGGCAUGCCCAGCCUACCUUUCUGCCUAAGCCAGAUGGGAGUGAGUGACAGUGUUUAUAUUCGGUAACCUUCAGCCUCCUUCCCAGAGUGAUGUCAGGUCAUCACCCAGAGAAGAAAGGAAGUGAAAGAAAAAGUUCAUGCCUUCUUGGAGCACAGAUGCUCAGAGUGAAAGAAACAACAAGACUUGAGACAGAUGGGAGCAGAUGAGCAAAACGGAAUGAGCCUGUCUCUUCGGUGCUGAAGUAUUGGAGAAGAAAAUUUGUGAGUUGAGAAUGAGAAGGCUUUUCUUCCAAUAAUCAAUGAGAAUUUUAUAAAACAACAGAAUGUGGAUGUGCUGACUGGAGCUGAAGCAGUCAUCUUGGACUGUUGAGGAAUUUGACAAUGAAGCCGUGUAUCAGGGGACAAGAUGGAUGAUAGAAGCAACAAGAAGGAGCCUGGGUUGAAUACAAAGUGCCUUAUCACAUGGCUCUUAUUGCCUACCCAAACUUUUAUAUAAGAGAAAUGCAUUUCUGUGUUAAGUCACUUUUGAUAUUAGCAGCCAAACCUAAUUCUAGCCUCAUAGAAUCCCCCGGAGCUGUACGGGCCUGUACAUGUAUGUGGCUUUUGAGCACUUGAAAUGUGGCCAGGACAAAUUGAGAAGUCCACACUGCAUUUUGACUUUAUACCAAAAAAGAAUGUAAAGUAUCUCAUUAAUGACUUUCAUAUUGAGUGUAUGUUGAAAUGAUAACAUUUGAAAUAUAUUGGGUUAAUCUA